GGGGUUGUGGCUCAGUGGUGGAGCAUUUGCCUUGCAUAAGGCACUAGGUUCAAUUCGCAACACCA
rnacentral:tRNA from 1 species